rnacentral:lncRNA from 1 species
UCCUUUUGGUUCUUAAGAGCAUGUGUUCGAUAAGCUAAUACGCGAUCCGCCGUAAGGCCCGAUUUUGAAGAUUGAAAUUGCGAUUUUAGUACUAUGAUCUAUGAGUCUGAAGGAUAAUAAAUCAUGGAUUAUUAACUCAAGAUAGGCUCAUGUUCGAGAAUCCAAAAAUGAAAAUUAAAUUUUCUUGGAUGUCAGUUAGGCAGGUUUCUGUGAUUUUUCGUACGGAUGAUCUCCAUGG